rnacentral:rRNA from 1 species
AUUGAACGCUGGCGGCAGGCCUAACACAUGCAAGUCGAGCGGAUGAAGGGAGCUUGCUCCUGGAUUCAGCGGCGGACGGGUGAGUAAUGCCUAGGAAUCUGCCUGGUAGUGGGGGAUAACGUCCGGAAACGGGCGCUAAUACCGCAUACGUCCUGAGGGAGAAAGUGGGGGAUCUUCGGACCUCACGCUAUCAGAUGAGCCUAGGUCGGAUUAGCUAGUUGGUGGGGUAAAGGCCUACCAAGGCGACGAUCCGUAACUGGUCUGAGAGGAUGAUCAGUCACACUGGAACUGAGACACGGUCCAGACUCCUACGGGAGGCAGCAGUGGGGAAUAUUGGACAAUGGGCGAAAGCCUGAUCCAGCCAUGCCGCGUGUGUGAAGAAGGUCUUCGGAUUGUAAAGCACUUUAAGUUGGGAGGAAGGGCAGUAAGUUAAUUCCUUGCUGUUUUGACGCUACCAACAGAAUAAGCACCGGCUAACUUCGUG